rnacentral:rRNA from 1 species
UAGGGAAUCUUGCGCAAUGGGCGAAAGCCUGACGCAGCCAUGCCGCGUGAAUGAUGAAGGUCUUAGGAUUGUAAAAUUCUUUCACCGGGGAAGAUAAUGACGGUACCCGGAGAAGAAGCCCCGGCUAACUUCGUGCCAGCAGCCGCGGUAAUACGAAGGGGGCUAGCGGUUUGCUCGGAAUUUACUGGGCGUAAAGGGCGCGUAGGCGGAUAUUUAAGUUGGGGGUGAAAGCCCGGGGCUCAACCUCGGAAUAGCCUUCAAUACUGGAUAUCUUGAGUUCGGGAGAGGUGAGUGGAAUGCCGAGUGUAGAGGUGAAAUUCGUAGAUAUUCGGCGGAACACCAGUGGCGAAGGCGACUCACUGGCCUGAUACUGACGCUG